GCGCCCGUAGCUCAACUGGAUAGAGCGUUGGUCUCCGAAGCCAAAGGUUAUGGGUUCAACUCCCGUCGGGCGCA
rnacentral:tRNA from 1 species